rnacentral:rRNA from 1 species
AUUGAACGCUCGCGGCAGGCCUAACACAUGCAAGUCGAGCGCGCGGCGGACGGGUGAGUAAUGUAUGGGGACUGCCCGAUAGAGGGGGAUAACUACUGGAAACGGUGGCUAAUACCGCAUACUAUCGGAUAACCCAUAUGGGAUUAGCUAGUAGGUGGGGUAAAGGCUCACCUAGGCGACGAUCUCUAGCUGGUCUGAGAGGAUGAUCAGCCACACGGGUACUGAGCCACGCCCCAGACUCCUACGGAGGCAGCAGUGGGGAAUAUUGCACGAUGGGCGCAAGCCUGAUGCAGCCAUGCCGCGUGUAUGAAGAAGGCCUUAGGGUUUUAAAGUACUGUCAGCGGGGAGGCGGGACCCGAAGAAGAAGCACCGGCUAACUCCGUGCCAGCAGCCGCGGUAAUAG